rnacentral:rRNA from 1 species
CUACGGGUGGCUGCAGUGGGGAAUAUUGGACAAUGGGGGAAACCCUGAUCCAGCAAUGCCGCGUGUGUGAAGAAGGCCUGCGGGUUGUAAAGCACUUUCGGUUGGGAGGACUGCUUCUAGCACUAAUAUUGUUGGAAGUUGACGUUACCUUCAGAAGAAGCACCGGCUAACUCCGUGCCAGCAGCCGCGGUAAUAGCGGAGGGUGCAAGCGUUAAUCGGAAUUACUGGGCGUAAAGCGCGCGUAGGCGGCUAGAUCAGUCGGGUGUGAAAGCCCCGGGCUUAACCUGGGAACUGCAUCCGAUACUGUCUAGCUUGAGUACAGGAGAGGAGAGUGGAAUUCCACAUGUAGCGGUGAAAUGCGUAGAUAUGUGGAGGAACACCAAUGGCGAAGGCAGCUCUCUGGCCUGAUACUGACGCUGAGGUGCGAAAGCGUGGGGAGCAAACAGGAUUAGAUACCCGGGUAGUC